rnacentral:rRNA from 1 species
UGAGUGCGAGCUGCUACGGCAGCGAAGUGGGUGACGUCAAGCUUCCAAGAAAAGCCCUAGACCCGUUAAGGCAUGAUUGCCUGUACCCGAAACCGACACAGGUGGGGUGGUAGAGAAUACCGAGGGGCGCGAGGUAACUCUCUCUAAGGAACUCGGCAAAAUGGCCCCGUAACUUCGGGAGAAGGGGUGCCAGCGAGAGCUGGUCGCAGUGAAGAGGCCCAGGCGACUGUUUACCAAAAACACAGGUCUCCGCUAAGUCGCAAGACGAUGUAUGGGGGCUGACGCCUGCCCAGUGCCGGAAGGUUAAGGAAGCUGGUCAGCGCAAGCGAAGCUGGCGACUGAAGCCCCGGUGAACGGCGGCCGUAACAAUAACGGUCCUAAGGUAGCGAAAUUCCUUGUCGGGUAAGUUCCGACCCGCACGAAAGGCGUAACGAUCUGGGCGCUGUCUCGGAGAGAGGCUCGGCGAAAUAGAAUUGUCUGUGAAGAUGCGGACUACGUGCACCCGGACAGAAAGACCCUAUGAAGCUUUACUGUAGCUUGGUAUUGUGCUCGGGCUCGGAAUGCGCAGGAUAGGUGGGAGGCAUUGAUCCAUUGCUUGCGGGUGAUGGUGAGCCACUGGUGAGAUACCACUCUUUUCGGGCUUAAGUUCUAACGGCCACCCGUUAUCCGGGGGCCGGACAGUAUCAGGUGGGCAGUUUGACUGGGGCGGUCGCCUCCUAAAAGGUAACGGAGGCGCGCAAAGGUCUGCUCAGGCUGGUUGGAAAUCAGCCGACGAGUGUAAAAGCAGAAGCAGGCUUGACUGUGAGACCUACAAGUCGAACAGGGAGGAAACUCGGCUUUAGUGAUCCGACGGUUCUGCGUGGAAGGGCCGUCGCUCAACGGAUAAAAGUUACUCUAGGAUAACAGGCUGAUCUCCCCCAAGAGUUCACAUCGACGGGGAGGUUUGGCACCUCGAUGUCGGCUCAUCGCAACCUGGGGCUGAAGUCGGUCCCAAGGGUUGGGCUGUUCGCCCAUUAAAGCGGUACGCGAGCUGGGUUCAGAACGUCGUGAGACAGUUCGGUCCAUAUCCGGUGCACGCGCAGGAAUAUUGAGAGGAUUUCUCCCUAGUACGAGAGGACCGGGAGGAACGCACCUCUGGUGUGCCAGUUAUCGUGCCAACGGUAAACGCUGGGUAGCCAUGUGCGGAGAGGAUAACCGCUGAAAGCAUCUAAGUGGGAAGCCCACCUCAAGAUGAGUAUUCCCAUGGCGUUAAGCCAGUAAGGUCACGGGAAGAACACCCGUUGAUAGGCUCUAUGUGGAAGCGCAGUAAUGCGUGAAGCAGAGGAGUACUAAUAGACCGUGGGCUUGAC